rnacentral:rRNA from 1 species
AUUGAACGCUGGCGGCAUGCCUUACACAUGCCAGUCGAACGGUAACAGGUCUUUCGGGAUGCUGACGAGUGGCGAACGGGUGAGUAAUACAUCGGAACGUGCCUAGUAGUGGGGGAUAACUACUCGAAAGAGUGGCUAAUACCGCAUGAGAUCUAUGGAUGAAAGCAGGGGACCUUUGGGCCUUGUGCUACUAGAGCGGCCGAUGGCAGAUUAGGUAGUUGGUGGGAUAAAAGCUUACCAAGCCUACGAUCUGUAGCUGGUCUGAGAGGACGAUCAGCCACACUGGGACUGAGACACGGCCCAGACUCCUACGGGAGGCAGCAGUGGGGAAUUUUGGACAAUGGGCGCAAGCCUGAUCCAGCAAUGCCGCGUGCAGGAUGAAGGCCUUCGGGUUGUAAACUGCUUUUGUACGGAACGAAAAGUCUUGGGUUAAUACCCUGGGAUCAUGACGGUACCGUAAGAAUAAGCACCGGCUAACUACGUG